rnacentral:rRNA from 1 species
UAGCCGUAAACGAUACUCGCUAGGUGUCGGCCACGGUGCGACCGUUGUCGGUGCCGUAGGGAAGCCGUGAAGCGAGCCACCUGGGAAGUACGGCCGCAAGGCUGAAACUUAAAGGAAUUGGCGGGGGAGCACAACAACGGGUGGAGCUUGCGGUUUAAUUGGAUUCAACGCCGGAAAUCUUACCGGGACCGACAGCAACAUGAAGGCCAAGCUGAAGACUUUGCCGGAUUAGCUGAGAGGUGGUGCAUGGCGUAGUCG